UACAGAGGUCUCGAGCGUUGUUCGGAUUCAUUGGGCGUAAAGGGUGCGUAGGUGGCGCUGUAAGUCGGGUGUGAAAGCUCGGAGCUCAACUCCGAAAUGGCAUUGGAAACUACCCUGCUAGAGGAUUGGAGGGGGGACUGGAAUACUUGGUGUAGCAGCGAAAUGCGUAGAUAUCAAGUGGAACACCAGUGGCGAAGGCGAGUCCCUGGACAAUACCUGACACUGAGGCACGAAAGCUAGGGGAGCAAACAGG
rnacentral:rRNA from 1 species